UAGGGAAUCUUCCGCAAUGGACGCAAGUCUGACGGAGCAACGCCGCGUGAGUGAAGAAGGAUUUCGGUUCGUAAAACUCUGUUGUUAGAGAAGAACAGCGCAUAGAGUAACUGUUAUGCGUGUGACGGUAUCUAACCAGAAAGCCACGGCUAACUACGUGCCAGCAGCCGCGGUAAUACGUAGGUGGCAAGCGUUGUCCGGAUUUAUUGGGCGUAAAGCGAGCGCAGGCGGUCAAUUAAGUCUGAUGUGAAAGCCCCCGGCUCAACCGGGGAGGGUCAUUGGAAACUGGUUGACUUGAGUGCAGAAGAGGAGAGUGGAGUUCCAUGUGUAGCGGUGAAAUGCGUAGUUAUAUGGAGGAACACCAGUGGCGAAGGCGACUCUCUGGUCUGUAACUGACGCUGAGGCUCGAAAGCGUGGGUAGCAAACAGG
rnacentral:rRNA from 1 species